GUUUUUAUAGUUGAAUAACAACGGUAGUUUUUCAGACUGAAGGUCUUGGUUGCAUUCCAAGUAGGAAUU
rnacentral:tRNA from 1 species